CUCAGAAUGUACAUUGGCUAUGGAUAUUUCCCCUGACAAUGUUGUAGGAGCUAUAGGUGAACAACAAGUUUGGAAAGUCAGAAGAACUAUCAUUAAUCAAUAGAAAAUCUUUGUCAAGCAAGUGUUUGAGUUGCAUAGACUGAUAAAGGUGCAAAGAUUAAUAGCAGGCUCACCCCAUGUAUUGCUUGAAGAUAACCUUUUACUUAACAAGCCACCACC